AACAAACGCUGGCGGCGUGCCUAACACAUGCAAGUCGAACGAGAAAGUCGGUUUCGGCCGAUGAGUAAAGUGGCGCACGGGUGAGUAAUGCGUGGAUAAUCUGCCCUUUAGUUGGGAAUAACGUACCGAAAGGUGCGCUAAUACCUGAUAAUACUGCAUAACUACUGUUGUGUAGUCAAAGAAGGCCUCUGUUUACAAGCUUUUGCUGAAGGAUGAGUCCGCGUACCAUUAGCUGGUUGGUGGGGUAAUGGCCUACCAAGGCUACGAUGGUUAGCUGGUCUGAGAGGAUGAUCAGCCACACUGGAACUGAGACACGGUCCAGACUCCUACGGGAGGCAGCAGUGAGGAAUAUUGCGCAAUGGGGGCAACCCUGACGCAGCAACGCCGCGUGAGUGAGGAAGGUUUUCGGACCGUAAAGCUCUGUCGAGCGGGAAGAAAUGUAUCAUGGCUAAUAUCCAUGAUACUUGACGGUACCGCUAAAGG
rnacentral:rRNA from 1 species